rnacentral:rRNA from 1 species
CAGUCGUGUGGGAAGUAUUCAGCCGUCUCUGGCGGUGUAUUUGCUUCUCACGGGUCAACAUCAGUUUGAUCCGGUAGAAAAAGGCGGGAAGAAGGUGGCACCCUCGGGUGUGUUAUAGCUUCCUGUCAUAUGUGCCGGACCAGACUGAGGAACGCAGCUUGCAGCAAUGCCGGGGUUCGCCCACGUACAAGCUUAGGAUGUUGACAUAAUGGCUUUAAACGACCCGUCUUGAAACACGGACCAAGGAGUCUAGCAUAUAUGCGAGUGUU